UACAGUGGCCCAGAAGGUCCCCUGGUCAAUCAAAACCUAGCACACCCCCUGCAGCCAGUCCCCAUCGCCGUGGCCGCUCUGUCCCAAGCUCCUCCCUCACCUGCGUGCCCACCCCUGCAGCCCACACCCGGCCCCGGAGCUCGGAGCCCGCUCUGAGCCACCACCGCUCAGCGAGUCUGAGACCGUCCCUGCUGAAGAGCCAUAGUCGCUUCCCCAGCACAACCGCUGAGAACUCGAGGGGAGGAGGGUCCCCGAGGCAGCAGGGGCCCCGUACCUGCUCAGAGACAGCCCUCGGGAAGGACUUGGCAGCAGAGAGAAGAGGUCGGCCAGAGGCUGCCGCGGCCUCACCAGUUCUCCGAGAGCAGCGGGAGGUUACCUGGGACUUUAUCUGCAUAACAAGACAAUUACCCAGAGGCCACCUCCCCCCACCCCACGCCCCUACCCAAUGCUAAUGCUAUCAAACCGCCAUCACCUGGCCCUGCCUGCUUCAGGCUUAUGUUUUGUGAGGCUCCCGUUUGCACAUAAUAAAUUCGUACGCCUUUUCUCCCUUCA